GUGUGUUAUAUGCAUGUGUGCCCAGAAGCCUUGAGCAGUGGUGGAGCUGUGUGGAGAGAACCUGAAUCCAUUCUGAGAAGGGGGCCUCAUCCUACGGGGGCAGUGCUUCAAAUAUGAGUUGCCAGAACACUAGCUGGAGGAGCUGGCCUUGUGCCAACUUGCCGUGUUAGACGCUUGAUGCAAAACGAACAAAUGAGAAGAUGAAUGAAAGAAUAAAUGAAUGAAGGGCCAGCUUAAUAUUAAGUACCACUCUUGUCAGCUUCUCACGUCCGGUCUUACUCAGGAGUCUUAUCAUCGUCCCUCAGCUCCAGGGAGAGAAAAACCUACAAAUCAAGCAAAAGACAUCUUCCUCAGGAGCGUUCUUCUCACCUGAAAGGCACAGUGAGAAAGGAAUGAAGUGUGCAUUGAAUCCGAAGCUUGGGUGAGGCCUCUCAGCCUUGGGACAGACAGCAGCACAGCCAAAGGGCCUCGAGAGAAACGAGGACUGAGUUUUGAAAAGCCUUCUGUGGCCAUUUGCACUCAGCUUUGGUAGUGGUAUGACUAUAUGAUGUGUGGAACUGUUGAAGCCAUCUUGUCACUAUGAGGUCACAACUUCAAGGAUGAGAGGCCCACACACUGUGGAUGCCCAAAUAGAAGGAUGAGAAAAGCCUGGGUUUUUGAUGGCAUUGCUGAGCUUCAGAACAAACCCUAGGCUCACCUAUCUCCAGCCUCUCAUCAAGGAAAACAACAAUUGUCUUUAUGGUUCAAAUCACUCCCACUGUGGAGGUGAAGACGGAAAUGCCGCAAAUUUCUGCAAUGGAUGCAACAUCCUGUCAUUGGUCAAUUAUUUGCAUAAACACCUAAACUUUGCCUGCAAUUCCAGGGGACACAGGGACCUCCUGAAGUGUCUCUGGUCUGUAGAUCAGGUAGGUGGGCAGGUCCUCGCUCCAGAUUAUCAGUUGUCUCAGCUGGUCAUUUGGAAGACAUUGCAGGGCAAACCAGGCAUUGUUGAGACUGACAGCAUGUGCCUAUAUGGCAGAACUGUCUGCUGGUGGGCAGAAAGAACACAGCUCUAGAGAGCAGGCAUGUAGAUGACACCCCCUGGUGUUGGUGAGGGAGGAGCAGCAGGCACACACUUAAACUGCUUUGGGGGCUGUGAGCAAGAACAUUUCUUCAGGGCACUCAGGCAGUAUAGCAUCAGGUGG
rnacentral:lncRNA from 1 species